GCCUGCAAUCCGAGGACUGGGGCUAGAGAGAGGCCGGGGACGGACCCUCACCCUCCUACUUCAGGCCCUCGCUUGAAUGUCGCCUCCUCAGAGAAGCCCACCAGGAACACUCCAUCUGAGCAGAGGCUCUCCUCUCUUGCCCCCCACCUACAGUCAUUUCCUCUGUCACCAUGUCCUAUUCUUGUCCUUCAGUCACCUUACUUUUUUUGUAAUUAUGUCUUAUAUCUGAUAUAAUUGUAUGUUUGUUUAUCAUUAUCUGUGCAUUAUGUAUAUAUUCACUUAUUUUUGGUACCCCCUUCACCCACCCCCAGGCCCAUUUUCCAAUUAUUCAAACAACAGAUGGUUAAAGAAGACCUACUGUGUGCCAGACACCGAGUCAUGUAUGCUGGGCACCCUGUUGUAUGUGUUCAACACCUGGGACAGUGCCUGGACCCCAGGAGGUGCCCCAUAAACACACGGUGAAUGACUGGUGGUGGUUUUUUUCUGGAAACAACCAUUUCCAUGGACCCCCGGCACUGUGCCCACUGUGAUGAGUCAGCCUGGCAUUUCACUUUGUGAGGUGCUUCUCCUCCCCAGAGCCCUUCUCGCCCUGUGGGCCCCUGGGUGUAAGAGGGGAAAGAGCUCAGGGCUCAUCAGAUCCAGCCUGACAGGUAAAAAAAACUGAGGUGGAGGAGAGAAGCCACUGUCUGAGGCCACACCUUGGCACUGACAAGGACUGCACAAACCUCUGAUUGCUCGAUUCCCAAAAACAACACAAGAGAGAACUGGUUUUCAUGUUUAAAAAAAAAAGGAGUUCCCUGGUGGCUCAGCAGCUUAAGGAUCUGGCUUUGUCACUGCUGUGGCUCAGGUUGCUGCUGUGGCACAGGUUUGAUCCCUGGCCAGGGAACUUUUGCAUGUUGUGAGCAUGCCCCCCCCCCCGAAAAGAGAUGCAUCACUCCUCCCUCCUUCAUUCAUUCCACCACUAACUACAAGCACUGGCCAUGUGCCCGGCCCUGUCCCACUGCUGGGGACAAGGCACCAAUGAGGCUGGUGGGAAGGAUGGACCCCAGCCACCAGUGAUCAUCUAAUGACAGUCCUGCUCAGCAGCACAGAAGGAAAGUGCACUGUGCUGCAAACACAGAAGGCUGGGCUAUGUAACCCAGUGUGGGAGGAAGGAGAGGCUGCCAUUAUUUAUCUGGGGACCUAAGAAAGAAGAAGGAGGAAUGUCUGAAAUUGACCCCAAAAUUACCUAAGGGGGGGUAAAGAAUAGAGGUGACAGCUGGCCUUUGUGGUGCUAUAAAGCCAUAUAAUCCAGAUCCGAUGGUGUUAACCUAAGAUCGAUAGCUACCACUGGAAAAGAAGAAGGAGGGGGGGGAUUAAUUCAGUGGGAAAGGGUAGUUAAUUUAAGAUUUGACAAAGCCACAACUGGCUCUCGACCUGGAAAAAUCUGUAUGUGGACCUUCACCUGCCACAAAAUCCACUCCAGAGGGACUAAGGCCUAAUGAAAAGAACAAUAGAAACCUUAGUACAAGUAGAAAUAGGAAACCAUACGUGCUCAACAAGGGUAGUAUUGACCUCAACCACGACAGGAAAUGCAGAGGCUGUAAUAAAAAUGAAACACAUUUGACUGUAUCAAUUUUUGUAUGUGUGUUGGAAGACCAUAAACUAAAAGAGGACAGAUUUCAGGGACACACUUGCCAUGCAGAUGACAGAUAAAGGGCUAAUGCCUGUCAUAAGUAAGAGCAUCUCUAAAUUGAUUUUUUUUCUUUUAGAGACAAAAAUAGUCUUACCAGCAAUUCACAGCACAGGAGGAUUUCUCAACCUCAGCCCUAUAGACACUGUGGGCCUGACAAGCUCUGGCUAUCCUGAGCUUGAGGGAAGCAUGGUUGUGAAUCUUGUUUUGUGAGUGGGGGCCCUCGGCCGGAGCCCCCGUGGAUCCCGCCCUGCCAUCCCUGCCCACCUCCUGUCACUGGACGUCAGAGUGGACUCAUCCUCAGAGUGGACUUUCCACUGCUCCACGAGGCACAUCAGCCCCGAUGAUGAGGCGGAAGCUGGAAGUGGAGGCAGGAAUGGGGUGGACGCCUGGGAAUAAACGUCAGAAAGAUGUCCAGCAGCAGAAACCCGGAGGGAGUUGCCUGAGGUGACAUCCAGGGUCUCUGCCAGUGUGAGCCUUCCAGGACUUGGCUGGAAAGGACCCCAUAGCUCAUCCAGUCCCAACAAGAAGACUGCUGCCUUCACAAUGACACGCUCGGCCAUGUCAACUGUGUUCCCCACAGGAGAAUUCACAUUGACCUCCUCUGACUUCCUCCCCAAGGAAAGGUUAAAGAAAACCAGCAAAGAAAUAGCAAAUGGAGGGAAGGUGCUUCCUUGGCUAAGUUUACACGUCACGUUCACAUCCUCUAAAAACAUCAGCCUCUCUCCUCCCUCUACUCACGGAGUCUUCCUGGCAGCUUGCAGAGUCCCCUCUCCAACAGCAGUUUUACUCUGGCUUCACAUCUGCCUCGGGCCUGGGUGCCUGGGUGCAGUGUGGCUGCUUCAGGGCUCACAGGAGAACUGGCCAAAGCUCUCUCCUAGAAAGAGGAAAACCAGGCAAAGAUGAGCGUCUUGGUGAAGGUUCGGGCAUCCUUAAGAAUUUUUUUCAAAGGGGAAGAGUGUCCAUCACUGUCUACCUUAUAGGUAGGAACCACAUAUGUCUUCAGCUUGGUACCAUCAACAUCUUGUACACAGUGGACACUUGAUAAAUUUCGUCGUUUCAAUUCCAGCUUUUUGUAACCCCACCAGAAGGCCCCCCUGCCAAGACUUGACUUAUAAGCUGGAAAUCUGAGAUCCUACAAACCUUGGUGAGAAGACACAGGAAACUUGAGGGGCCAGGAUAAAAAAGUCCUUAAACCAGAAAUAUAUAGAAAAGCAAAUGCUCGGAGUCCCCCGAUAGCCUAGUGGUAAGGGUUCCAUAUUGUUACUGCUGUGGCUCAGGUUUGAUCCCUGGCCCUGCAGUUUCCACAUGCCUCGCACAAAAAAAACAACAACCAAAAAACAGAAAACAAAUGCUAUUUUCAAAAGAGACAAUAAGUUUCUGAAUCCCAAGGUCUCACCAAGGGCAGAGGUGAUUGGGCUCAGCAUCAGGAUGAGGGGAUGGAAAAAGUGACAGGAUUUUGUAGGAACAGGGGGUCCUUAGGGAUGCAUCGUGAAAGUAAAAGCGAAACCAAUCCCAGCAAGAGUCAUUUUUCUCACCCUGGGAUUUUCAAGAGCAGUGUGUUCAUCUCUUGGUUUCUGAGGAGGGCGAUGUGCAGUGAUCUGGAGCCAGCAAAGCAAGCUCCAGAAGCCAUGGCCACUGCAGAAAAGGACUAGACACCUUUGGGGGUAGUUCUCCAGCAUUUCUUGUCUGCCCCCAGCCCCCCUGCCCUCGUUGGUGCUGUUUCCGAGGUGACCCCGUCUGAGAGGUUGCGACCUGGCAGAGGGGGCUUGCCAAGCUGGAGAAGGGGCUAAAGCCUAGGCUUGCCUGCCUGGUUCUUGCAGGCAGUUCCCUGACUGACACUCUUCCAAGUGUGAGGCAGGGAGACUCCAGCUGUGGCUGCCUGGGAAAUGCCCGCCAGGGAGCUUCGGAGGGCAUUAGCUCUGGGUUUCAGCACGAAGGCCAGAGAGAGGUCUGAUAAAACAUGGUUGUGGAUAUGGAUCCUGGAGAGAGGGAAGUGGAGAAGGGAAUCCAGCCCUGAGAGCACCUGAGGCUCCUGGGGAAAUGGGCAAAUGGAGCCAGACUGCUGUGGGGAGCGAGUCUCUGGUUGCAUUGCUGGCUGUGAGGGUCUGGCUAGUGCCGGAGCCACAUCUGGUUGACGGAGGGGUGAGGAGGAGCAGCACAGAGAGGCUUAGAGGGAGAGAGUGAGGGGCUGGAAGUGAGCAAGGUGGAGGAGAGUGAAAGACAGGUAAGGGAUGGAUGGUGAGGUUUGGGGGGUGUUGAAAAGUGAGGUUCCAGGCUGGGAAAAGGUUGGUGAGACGGGUAUGGAAAUUGAGGAGCUGGAGAAACAGGUGAAAGGCAGGUGGCUCCCUGUGCUCGCUGCGUGGUUUGGUCUCCAGGCUCUUACCUGCAUUACAGGUGAAGGCGAGGGAGUCUCCCGGCUGUCCGUCGUGAGCGCUCCGGUGGCUGCAGCCGCUGGGCCCUAGGCCUGCGCGCUCUCGGGCCCUUUUCCCCCAGACCCCUAACUUGGCCUCAAAACGGGAAGGUCGCUUGGGAGGAAAUCUCUUUCAUAUAGCCGGGUCUGUGCCCUCGGUUCCCGGGCGAGCAGGCGCGCACGGCGCUUCAGUAAUUGCUAUCCUUCCGGGAAACGAAAAUGAAAGAGAGGGAUCCGGCUUCCACACCCGCCCAGGUCGGCUUGGCGAAGGGCGGGGGCUGGCCGCUGCGGUAGCGGAGGCCGGGGGCGCUCUCCGCUGCCGGCUGGGAGGCGGCGGUCCUGCUUACAUUCUUUAGCGGAUGGACAGCUCCUCACGCAGCCUGGCACAGAGGUGGGAUUCUGUGCUUCUAGAGAGCGGAAGGAACCCCUGGUCCUGGGCUGGCGACAAGAACAGGCUAACUUCACGACACACUUGUGCAUCUUCGCAGAUGGAUGGGAGGAGCCUCUCAUGCUGUCUGCCUGGACCAGAUGCCUCUUCCCUCAGGAGCGAGUGACCCCGGCCCCAGCUCGGCCUCCGCCUGCCCUUUGGCCGGAAGGAGUCCCCACUACCCCAAGUCCAAGGGCCACUGUCAGAGAGGCUGUGAUGCUCUUCCUGACCUAGACCCAGGUCUCAGUGGCAUCUGACUGACACCUUUCCUCAGGCCUCUGGCUGCUCUGGUGUGGUGCCCACCCGCCUAUCCACCCCCCACCUCCCCCCCCCCCCCACACACACACCUGUCUCAGCUCCCUCUGCCUUGAGAGGAAGCUGAGAAAGGUUGUAAGCACUAAAGCAAACCAAUACAUGGGGAAGAUAAGAAAGCAAGAAGCCUUAAUAACUUGCCCAGACUCUUGAAAGUGUAGAUGCUGUCGGCUUAGCACUGCUAAAGCAUGAGCUUCUGGAAAUCAAUGAGAACAAGACCAGAGGAGUUCUCUUGUAGCAGUGGAUUAAGGAUCCCGUGUUGUCACUGCAGCAGCUUGGGUCACUGCUCUGGCGAGGGCUUGAUCUCUGGCCUGGAAACUUCGACAUGCUGCGAGUUCAGCAAGAAAGAAAGAAGAAAACAGAGAAACAGAGAGGGAGGGAGGGAAAAUUUAAGUUAUUCUGAGAUAUUUUUAAUCCUUUAGCUUGGAAAAGAAAAGUCUCGUAGCAUAAGCUGCUGGAGAGGCUGAGGGGAACAGAGAACACCAGGCAUGUAAAGUGAUGCGGUCCCACGGAGGCCAGCGAGGCAGGCCUAGCAACGUCACAGAUGUAUUUCCCCUUCACCAGCAGUCCCAAUGCUGGAAAAGUAUUCGACACAUACACCCACACAUAUCCAAAAUGUACGUGGUUAUUUUUUUCCGUAUGGCUUCUAAUACCAAAUGAUUAGAAGCAACCCAGGCAUCAGGGGGCUGAUGAGACAAAUUCUGCUACAUCCAUUUAACAGAAUCCUGUGUGUUGUCUGAGGGCGCUUUCUGCGAAUCGUGGCAAGCUCUCCAAGAGGCAACGUGGCAGAGCGGUUAAGAACCUAGACCCUGAGGACAGUUGCCUGCCUGCCUUGGAAACCCAGCUAUGCCACUUACCAGCCACGUGCCCUUGAGCAACUCAGUUAACCGAUGCACUGCCUCUCUCUACUAACUACUGCCUCAGUUUCCUUAACAGUAAAAUAGAGCUAAUAAUAAAACCUAUCUCAUAAGGUCCUUAGGAAGAGUGAAUGGGUUAACAUUUGUGAGACAACUAGCAUAGUGCCUGAGCACCAUGUGAAGCAAAAAAUGAAGGUACAGAACAGUGUAUAUUACAUGCUUCCUUGUGUGUGUGUAAAUAAUAUAGAUACACACCAUGUACAGUACUGGUAUUUGUACAAAGAAACUGAAAGGAUAUGUAAUACAUGAUAAAUGUAACUGGGAUUCAGGAUAGAAAAUAAGAGCAAAGGUUUUCAUUGUAAACCUUUUGAUAUGGCUUUGAUUUUUUUUAACCAUGUGAAUAAAUAAAUACCUAUUCCAAAGGGGAAAAAAUAAAUAAGAAAGACAUUUUAGGUUCUAUUCCCCACUAGGAAGCCAAAACCUAAGUGAUGAUAGGCAUUGCCUGAGACAGACUAAAAAAUUAGGGACAUUUUCCUUUGGAAGGACAUUUCCCUUUGUAGAGUUUGAUCAGACUCUACAAAAUUACGAACUCAUAUGAGCAGAAACAAGUGGAAUCCCUGCUUCACAAAGAAACGUGCAUAGGUGUUUCAUGCUCAAUAAAAUAACCGUGUUUAUUUCAUCUUAAAAAUUAUUAGUUUUAAAUAACACUUUUCCUACAAAGAACUCA